rnacentral:rRNA from 1 species
UACGUAGGGUGCGAGCGUUAAUCGGAAUUACUGGGCGUAAAGCGUGCGCAGGCGGUUUUGUAAGUCAGAUGUGAAAUCCCCGGGCUCAACCUGGGAACUGCAUUUGAGACUGCAAGGCUAGAGUGUGGCAGAGGGGGGUAGAAUUCCACGUGUAGCAGUGAAAUGCGUAGAGAUGUGGAGGAAUACCGAUGGCGAAGGCAGCCCCCUGGGCCAAUACUGACGCUCAUGCACGAAAGCGUGGGGAGCAAACAGGAUUAGAUACCCUGGUAGUCCACGCCCUAAACGAUGUCAACUAGGUGUUGGAAGGGUUAAACCUUUUAGUGCCGUAGCUAACGCGUGAAGUUGACCGCCUGGGGAGUACGGCCGCAAGGCUA